rnacentral:lncRNA from 10 species
GUGCUCGAGCGUGCGCUGGCGGCGGCCCGGGCUCCCGGGCGUCUCUCACGCUGUGUUUUGGCGGCGCCUGGGGUCUUCGUUUGCAUAUGAGAAGAGCCGAAAGCACAGAGCUACAGGCGAAUACAAGUGGAUUUUUUUUCUUUUUCUGUUUUUUUAUUAGAAGUAAUAGUUGCUGCAUUUUGAAAAAUCAAGAGGAAAAGAGUUAACAGGAAGAAAAGUUCGAGGCUGGAAUGCAGUGGUGCAAACAUGGCUCACUACAGCCUCAACCUCCUGGCCUCAAGCGAUCCUCCUGCCUCCACUUCCUGAGUAACUUUGGUCACAGAGACACGGUUUCCCUAUGUUGCCCAGGCUGGUCUUGAACUCCUGGUCUCAAGUGAUCCUCCUGCCUUGGCAAAAUGCUGGGAUUACAGUCUGGAUGAACAACUCCAAGGAUGGAAGAAUAAUUUUACCUAUUACAACCUGGUAGUUGGAGAAAAGACUUGGUGAGUGGAGGCGAUCUAGACCUUCCAACAGGUGAAGAAAAGAAGCAAGCAAGGAAGAAUAGCAUUAAUAAGAAGCUCAGGAUGGACAACUGUUUUAGAGGGGGAAAUGUUGGCAUAUCAGUUUCCGCUCUCUGGUGCAACAUGAGAACGUGCAUUCAAGAGAAGAAUUUGCCUCUAUUCAAUCUACCUGGCUCAAUCCCAGAACCAUGCGUCCAACUUCAUCUAUUUUUUGACCUGUAAAUCUCUAUUAUUCAAACGACAACUAGGCAGCCACGUUCUUUUUCCCUUGCUAUUUUGGCCUAUUACAUAAAAACUUUGGCCUUUGGAAAUAUGGAACAGAUUAAUUUUCUCUCCUCCCUCCACUUCUCACUUCUCCUAGGUGGUCUGUCCUAUUAGAAGAAUGAACAGUGUAUUUGACUCUGCCUCUGCUGAGUUUUCUUUAAAUAAAA